AUUGAACGCUGGCGGAAUGCUUUACACAUGCAAGUCGAACGAGACCUUCGGGUCUAGUGGCGCACGGGUGCGUAACGCGUGGAAUCUGCCCUUGGGUUCGGAAUAACAGUUAGAAAUGACUGCUAAUACCGGAUGAUGUCGAAAGACCACAGAUUUAUCGCCCAAGGAUGAGCCCGCGUAGGAUUAGGUAGUUGGUGGGGUAAAGGCCCACCAAGCCGACGAUCCUUAGCAGGUCUGAGAGGAUGAUCAGCCACACUGGGACUGAGACACGGCCCAGACUCCUACGGGAGGCAGCAGUGGGGAAUAUUGGACAAUGGGCGAAAGCCUGAUCCAGCAAUGCCGCGUGAGUGAUGAAGGCCUUAGGGUUGUAAAGCUCUUUUACCAGGGAUGAUAAUGACAGUACCUGGAGAAUAAGCUCCGGCUAACUCCGUGCCAGCCGCCGCGGUAA
rnacentral:rRNA from 1 species